rnacentral:rRNA from 1 species
GUGGGGAAUCUUGCGCAAUGAGCGAAAGCCUGACGCAGCCAUGCCGCGUGAAUGAUGAAGGUCUUAGGAUUGUAAAAUUCUUUCACCGGGGACGAUAAUGACGGUACCCGGAGAAGAAGCCCCGGCUAACUUCGUGCCAGCAGCCGCGGUAAUACGAAGGGGGCUAGCGUUGCUCGGAAUUACUGGGCGUAAAGGGCGCGUAGGCGGACAGUUUAGUCAGAGGUGAAAGCCCAGGGCUCAACCUUGGAAUUGCCUUUGAUACUGGCUGUCUUGAGUACGGGAGAGGUGAGUGGAACUCCGAGUGUAGAGGUGAAAUUCGUAGAUAUUCGGAAGAACACCAGUGGCGAAGGCGACUCACUGGCCCGUUACUGACGCUGAGGCGCGAAAGCGUGGGGAGCAAACAGGAUUAGAUACCCGUGUAGUCC